ACGGACACUCCUGUACCUAACCAGCCAUUGAGACUUCAGCGUCAAAGCUCUGUACCUGUCAACAUGAACGGAUUCGUUGGAGUGAACGCCCUCGUGUGGGUUGCUGUUGCACUAGCUGUGCUCAUCAAUGAAGCUGCCGCCCUUGGUGGUGCUGUCGGAGGUGGUAGAGGAUUAGACCGCAAGAAGUGAAUAACUGCGCAUCGGUUCAAGAACCAUGGCUCCAUCGGUAAAUGGCUCUGUCGA
rnacentral:lncRNA from 1 species